UACGUAGGGUGCAAGCGUUGUCCGGAAUUAUUGGGCGUAAAGAGCUCGUAGGCGGUCUGUCGCGUCGGCUGUGAAAACUCAGGGCUCAACUCCGAGCUUGCAGUCGAUACGGGCAGGCUAGAGUUCGGCAGGGGAGACUGGAAUUCCUGGUGUAGCGGUGAAAUGCGCAGAUAUCAGGAGGAACACCGGUGGCGAAGGCGGGUCUCUGGGCCGAUACUGACGCUGAGGAGCGAAAGCGUGGGGAGCAAACAGG
rnacentral:rRNA from 1 species